AUUGAACGCUGGCGGAACGCUUUACACAUGCAAGUCGAACGGCAGCACGGGGCAACCUGGUGGCGAGUGGCGAACGGGUGAGUAAUACAUCGGAACGUGCCCAAUCGUGGGGGAUAACGUAGCGAAAGUUACGCUAAUACCGCAUACGAUCUACGGAUGAAAGCGGGGGAUCGCAAGACCUCGCGCGAAUGGAGCGGCCGAUGUCAGAUUAGGUAGUUGGUGGGGUAAAGGCUCACCAAGCCAACGAUCUGUAGCUGGUCUGAGAGGACGACCAGCCGCACUGGAACUGAGACACGGUCCAGACUCCUACGGGAGGCAGCAGUGGGGAAUUUUGGACAAUGGGGGCGAACCCUGAUCCAGCCAUUCCGCGUGAGUGAAGAAGGCCUCGGUUGUUAAAGGACUCUUUCCUAGCAGGAACGAAACGGUAGGU
rnacentral:rRNA from 1 species